rnacentral:lncRNA from 1 species
CUCCUAGAAACAAGUUUUAAAAUGCAAAUCCUUCCUUCCUUCCUUCCUUCCUUCCUUCUUUCCUCCCUCCCUCCCUCCCUCAACCCUCUGUCCCUUCCUUCCUUCCUCCAUAAUUUACCAAACAUUUAUUGAGCCAGUUUUUUGCUAAAGCACAAAAGCUAUAUAAAGAUAAGUCAUAGGUCAUGCUUUUGAGGUGCUCACAGUAAAAAAAAAAAACCCAGAGAUGAGUUAAAAAUGAAAUCAGCCUGUGAAGGGCCACUGGCUUCACAGAGAUGAAGAACCUCAAAGGACGAUUACAAGUUCCACAGAUGGGGCCAGAGGAGAAGAAUAUUUUGAGCAGAGGAGACAGCCCGAGCCCAGCGCAGAGGCCUGGAUGCAGUGUUCUUCUGAGAGACUAACAGCUCAUUCUCGGCACUACCCCUGGAGACGCCGAGCCAACUACUGCCACCAGUCAACAUCUAUUGAUUGAAUACUCCAUCUGUGUCAGGUCCUCCACUAGGCACUCGAGAUGCAAGACCUCAAAUAAUUCUUACAACAGCCUAAGAGAUGUCAAUACAUGUAGGAUCUGAAAAUCUGAACCAUGCCCAUGGCAUUCCAUGCCCUGGAAAAAAGGAUCUCUACAAACUUUAUCUCAGCUUUGAACAUGCCAACAGAAAAUGCACCCUAGAAUUAGCCCUCUGAUUGCGGACACCUGGCCACAUUGCUAACUGAGGCAUGCAGAGAAGUGUCAGCCACGCUGGUUCCAGUUUUCAUUCCUCCAUCCAAUCCAAAGAGUGGAGAAUGGGGUGGAGGGAGACUCUUUCUCUCUGUGUCUCCAGGGGGCUCACUGUGGUAUCCUUGAAAGCUGGAGGUAGAAAUCCAAGAGUGUGGCCUCAAGGAGGAAUCUCCGUGCUCGUCUCCAUUUAUCCUGUGGGUAACCUGAGAAGACCUGUGGGUCUGCCCGAGCCACAAGCUGGAUCAGUGGCUUAGCCAGGAACAAUCGGCGAGGC